rnacentral:lncRNA from 1 species
GUAACCGAGUAUCGUACUCCACAGGGACUGAUAAACGAAAUUACUCUAACUAUCUCCUAAACAGACUAUAACAGUAGACAGAUAACAGAAAGUAGGAAGAUUUGAUUAGCACUAAAUUCAAAUAACAACAAAUAAAAUAAGGUAAAAACUCAAAUAAUAAAAGACUCUGACCCUAGGGAUGUACUUUUACUAAUUAAUUACAUGCAUUUAAUCUAUUGAUUCAAUUACCAAUUUAAUCCAACCCUGAUGAGAGAUCACAGAACUAUUCACAAGCUUCUCUAACGAACACCUAUGAAAGUAGAUUAAUUUACCCCCCCUUCACAUUCAAGACUCCAAGGAAUAAAUUAACUCCCAAGCGUACACAAAGAAUAGCUCCCUAUAGUUUCAUCUAUCCCAUUCAAGUGUCAAGGCUACUACUAUAACAUGCAUUCCUGAAUCGGCUGAACAAUUAUCGCAUUCAAGACUCAAAUUGAACAACUAAACAUGUAAAUUAUUGGCCAAAUAAUUCACAAGAAAUUAAGCACCAGGAAUCAUGAAUCACAAGUUGGAAGGCAAAUUGAUAUCUAUAAAUCAUACACACAUAAUUAAUCAGCUAUUUACAAACCCUAGGUUCAGAUGAAAGAACUAGCUGGACAUCAUAAAAUAAAAUAAAAGCAUAAAUAAAAGAAAGCAAUUGAAAUAAAUAAAAUAGAUAAAACCCGGAAGAAAUUCUGGAUGAACAGCUUGAAUCUUGAAUCUUGCAGGAAAAGAAAUCUAAUCUAUGAAAACAUUAAAAUCCUAAGUCUAAAACUGAAAAAUAUGAAAAAAGGUAAAGAGAUGUGAAAAGAUGUGUCUAAUAGGUCAGGGAAAGGACCUUUAUAUAGGCACAGGGGAUAAAUACAGUUUAGAACUCGAAAAUACUGAGAAAAUAUAAAAAACCCGAAAAUUCCCGAAAAUUCGGAAAUUUCCGUCAACACUAUUCACUGCUGUGCGCGACUUUCUUGUUUUGGCCAUAACUUUCUUGUCCGAACUCCGAUUUAUGAUCCGUUU